rnacentral:rRNA from 1 species
CAAAGGAGUGAUCCGGCAGAGGAUGGACAUGCGGCGCAUUAGCUAGUCGGCGGGGUAACGGCCCACCGAGGCUACGAUGCGUAGGGGUUCUGAGAGGAAGGUCCCCCACACUGGUACUGAGACACGGACCAGACUCCUACGGGAGGCAGCAGUGAGGAAUAUUGGUCAAUGGGCGGAAGCCUGAACCAGCCAAGUCGCGUGAGGGAAGACGGUCCUAUGGAUUGUAAACCUCUUUUGCAGGGGAACAAGGCGCGGUACGUGUACCGCGAAGGAGAGUACCCUGAGAAAAAGCAUCGGCUAACUCCGUGCCAGCAGCCGCGGUAAUACGGAGGAUGCGAGCGUUAUCCGGAUUUAUUGGGUUUAAAGGGUGCGCAGGCGGACUGUUAAGUCAGCGGUAAAAUGUCGGUGCUCAACACCGGCCGGCCGUUGAAACUGGCAGCCUUGAGUGAGCGAGAAGUAUGCGGAAUGCGUGGUGUAGCGGUGAAAUGCAUAGAUAUCACGCAGAACUCCGAUUGCGAAGGCAGCAUACCGGCGCUCAACUGACGCUCAGGCACGAAAGCGUGGGUAUCGAACAGGCUUAGAUACCCUGGUAGUCCACGCAGUAAACGAUGAAUGCUCACUGUCCGGGCCGUUUAAGGCCUGG